CAGUCGCCGCGGGAAUACGGAGGGUGCAAGCGUUAAUCGGAAUUACUGGGCGUAAAGCGUGCGUAGGUGGUGGUUUAAGUCCGUUGUGAAAGCCCUGGGCUCAACCUGGGAAUUGCAGUGGAUACUGGGUCACUAGAGUGUGGUAGAGGAUAGUGGAAUUUCCGGUGUAGCAGUGAAAUGCGUAGAGAUCGGAAGGAACAUCUGUGGCGAAGGCGACUAUCUGGGCCAACACUGACACUGAGGCACGAAAGCGUGGGGAGCAAACAGGAUUAGAUACCCGAGUAGUCCCUGUCUCUUAUAC
rnacentral:rRNA from 1 species